rnacentral:rRNA from 1 species
GUUAUGCGCCUACCAUGGUUGUAACGGGUAACGGGGAAUCAGGGUUCGAUUCCGGAGAGGGAGCCUGAGAAACGGCUACCACAUCCAAGGAAGGCAGCAGGCGCGCAAAUUACCCACUCCCGGCACGGGGAGGUAGUGACGAAAAAUAACAAUACGGAACUCAUACGAGGCUCCGUAAUUGGAAUGAGUACACUUUAAAUCCUUUAACGAGGAUCUAUUGGAGGGCAAGUCUGGUGCCAGCAGCCGCGGUAAUUCCAGCUCCAAUAGCGUAUAUUAAAGUUGUUGUGGUUAAAAAGCUCGUAGUUGGAUCUCGGUUUCGGGUGAAUGGUGCACCUUGCGGUGUUUACUAUUUACUCGGACGAUUUUGUUGGUUCGUUCCUGGUUCUCUUUAUCGAGUGCCUUGAGUGGCCAACACGUUUACUUUGAAAAAAUUGGAGUGCUCAAAGCAGGCGCUACAGCCUGAACAUUAGUGCAUGGAAUAAUGGAAUAGGAUCUCGGUUCUAUUUCGUUGGCUUUCGGAGUCGAGGUAAUGAUUAAUAGGGACAGACGGGGGCAUUCGUACUGCGACGUUAGAGGUGAAAUUCUUGGAUCGUCGCAAGACGAACUACUGCGAAAGCAUUUGCCAAGAAUGUUUUCAUUAAUCAAGAACGAAAGUUAGAGGUUCGAAGGCGAUCAGAUACCGCCCUAGUUCUAACCAUAAACGCUGUCGACCGGCAAUCGGCUCUCGUUAAAUUAAUGACUGAGCAGGCGGCCUGCUGGAAACAAGAGUAUUUGGAUUCCAGGGGGAGUAUGGUUGCAAAGCUGAAACUUAAAAGAAUUGACGGAAGGGCACCACCAGGAGCGGAGCCUGCGGCUUAAUUUGACCCAACACGGGAAAUCUCACCAGGCCCGGACACCGGAAGGAUUGACAGAUUGAGAGCUCUUUCUUGAUUCGGUGGGUGGUGGUGCAUGGCCGUUCUUAGUUGGUGGAGCGAUUUGUCUGGUUAAUUCCGAUAACGAACGAGACUCUGGCCUACUAAAUAGACGUCGAAUCUUUUAUAGGUUUGUCGUAUGCUUCUUAGAGGGACGGGCGGCGUUUAGCCGCACGAGAAUGAGCAAUAACAGGUCUCAUGCCCUUAGAUGUUCUGGGCCGCACGCGCGCUACACUGAAGAAAUCAGCGUGUGUUCCUCAUCCGAAAGGAUUGGGUAACCCGUUGAACCUUCUUCGUGAUGGGGAUUGGGGAUUGCAAUUAUUCCCCAUGAACGAGGAAUUCCCAGUAGGCGCGAGUCAUAAGCUUGCGUCGAUUACGUCCCUGCCCUUUGUAGACACCGCCCGUCGCUACUACCGAUCGAGUGAUUUAGUGAGGACUCCGGACUGGUCUCUGAUGCGACUCUCGGGUUAUGUCGGUGUACUGGAAAGUUGUCCAAACUUGAUUACUUAGAGGAAGUAAAAGUCGUAACGAGGUU